rnacentral:rRNA from 2 species
CCUACGGGAGGCAGCAGUGGGGAAUUUUGCGCAAUGGGGGAAACCCUGACGCAGCAACGCCGCGUGAGUGAUGAAGGCCUUCGGGUUGUAAAGCUUUGUCAGAGGGAAAGAAGUGUGGGAGGGCCAAUACCCCUUUCACUUGACGGUACCCUCAAAGGAAGCACCGGCUAACUCCGUGCCAGCAGCCGCGGUAAU